GACGAACUCUGGCGGCGUGCUUAACACAUGCAAGUCGAACGGAAAGGCCCUGCUUUUGUGGGGUGCUCGAGUGGCGAACGGGUGAGUAACACGUGAGUAACCUGCCCUUGACUUUGGGAUAACUUCAGGAAACUGGGGCUAAUACCGGAUAGGAGCUCCUGCUGCAUGGUGGGGGUUGGAAAGUUUCGGCGGUUGGGGAUGGACUCGCGGCUUAUCAGCUUGUUGGUGGGGUAGUGGCUUACCAAGGCUUUGACGGGUAGCCGGCCUGAGAGGGUGACCGGCCACAUUGGGACUGAGAUACGGCCCAGACUCCUACGGGAGGCAGCAGUGGGGAAUAUUGCACAAUGGGCGGAAGCCUGAUGCAGCAACGCCGCGUGCGGGAUGACGGCCUUCGGGUUGUAAACCGCUUUCGCCUGUGACGAAGCGUGAGUGACGGUAAUGGGUAAAGAAGCACCGGCUAACUACGUGCCAGCAGCCGCGGUGAUACGUAGGGUGCGAGCGUUGUCCGGAUUUAUUGGGCGUAAAGGGCUCGUAGGUGGUUGAUCGCGUCGGAAGUGUAAUCUUGGGGCUUAACCCUGAGCGUGCUUUCGAUACGGGUUGACUUGAGGAAGGUAGGGGAGAAUGGAAUUCCUGGUGGAGCGGUGGAAUGCGCAGAUAUCAGGAGGAACACCAGUGGCGAAGGCGGUUCUCUGGGCCUUUCCUGACGCUGAGGAGCGAAAGCGUGGGGAGCGAACAGGCUUAGAUACCCUGGUAGUCCACGCUGUAAACGGUGGGUACUAGGUGUGGGGUCCAUUCCACGGGUUCCGUGCCGUAGCUAACGCUUUAAGUACCCCGCCUGGGGAGUACGGCCGCAAGGCUAAAACUCAAAGGAAUUGACGGGGCCCCGCACAAGCGGCGGAGCAUGCGGAUUAAUUCGAUGCAACGCGUAGAACCUUGCCUGGGUUUGACAUGGAUCGGGAGUGCUCAGAGAUGGGUGUGCCUCUUUUGGGGUCGGUUCACAGGUGGUGCAUGGCUGUCGUCAGCUCGUGUCGUGAGAUGUUGGGUUAAGUCCCGCAACGAGCGCAACCCUUGUUCACUGUUGCCAGCACGUUAUGGUGGGGACUCAGUGGAGACCGCCGGGGUCAACUCGGAGGAAGGUGGGGAUGACGUCAAGUCAUCAUGCCCCUUAUGUCCAGGGCUUCACGCAUGCUACAAUGGCUGGUACAGAGAGUGGCGAGCCUGUGAGGGUGAGCGAAUCUCGGAAAGUCGGUCUCAGUUCGGAUUGGGGUCUGCAACUCGACCUCAUGAAGUCGGAGUCGCAAGUAAUCGCAGAUCAGCAACGCUGCGGUGAAUACGUUCCCGGG
rnacentral:rRNA from 1 species